UACGAAGGGGGCUAGCGUUGCUCGGAAUCACUGGGCGUAAAGCGCACGUAGGCGGCGCAGCAAGUCAGGGGUGAAAUCCCGGGGCUCAACCUCGGAACUGCCCUUGAAACUGCAGUGCUAGAAUCUUGGAGAGGCGAGUGGAAUUCCGAGUGUAGAGGUGAAAUUCGUAGAUAUUCGGAAGAACACCAGUGGCGAAGGCGACUCGCUGGACAAGUAUUGACGCUGAGGUGCGAAAGCGUGGGGAGCAAACAGG
rnacentral:rRNA from 1 species